CGAAAAGCCUCGCUGCCUCUGCAGUCUCUUGCUCUUUCCUAAGGCAAUUAGCAAAAAAAAAAAGAAGAUUAAAGUUUGAUUCUUUCGAAACUUAUCCAAAUCUAGAUGCGAAGUAUUCGCUAAAUUAGCAAAAAACUUACAACUUCUACGAUUGAUCUGAUGAAGAUCAAUUUCAAGACCAACUCCGGUUAGAUUAAAACGGGGAGCACACACUUUUGCAUAAGCGCAUAACCAUAAACACACAAAAGAAAUUGAUUGGUCCACAAAUGUAUGUAUAAGAAAAAAUGAACCAAUCAAUUUCCUUAUACUUAUUGUUAUGCGCUUAUGCAAAAGUGUGUGCUCCCCGCUUAACCGACGAUUAAAAUUAGCAGGCAUUUUCUGACAACAGAAAAUAGAGAUGAAGGAAAACCAAGCAUUCUUAUCAUUUCAGUUGCCAUCUUGCCGUCGGUUGAUCUAACCGGACUUGGUGAAAUUGGCCCUGAAGAGAAUUUGUCAAAUCAUGAUCAAGUCAGGAUGAAGAAUUUGCGAGAUUUCGAAAUGGCAAGAAAUCUCUAGACAGGAGUUGAAGAACAGGUGUCUCGGCGACGUAUGAAGUCAAAAAUAAAGUCACGAGCUCCAAGAACGUCAAACAUAAGCGAGCGAGAGCAUCUUUACCACCACUGACGCAACUCGCGACUCAACUACUCGACAACAGAUUGCCUGUCAUGCCGCCAUCGUACACACUGCCCGCUACAGAUCACAUCCAUAAAGCCGGUCACACACUUUCCAUAACCGUAAUCGUAACCGUAACGUAAGGAUUUCGACCAAUCGCAUUGCUUAAUUCGACAGUCCAUAGCAACGCGAUUGAUCGAAUUCUUACGUUGCGGUUACGUGAUUACGAUUACGGAAAGCGUGUGUGACCGGCUUAAACGUAACCCGGCAUUGAUAGUACGAGGCAGUACGAGGCAGUAUGAGCAUCUCGUGCCACGUGCCUUUCUGCGCGCUUCAUUCGGCGCGACUUAUAUCCUACAGGUGCCCCAAAGAUAUUUCGUGUGCCCAGUAGUCGCGUAUUUUCAGCUUUCUUGGAACAUCUCCAGGUGUGAGGGAGGAGGAAGAGAUCGCGACACAGUCGACGACGCGAAGAUCUUGACGGGUAAAUCGCGACUCGCGACUGAUAACCACGUGCGACUCUCAGAAAGAAGACAGGAAGAAUAUACGGAAGAAUAUAUACGAUUGCAAAGAAACUACAUUUGCUUAGGAAUCAAUUGCAACAUUUACAUUAGUGUCAAUGAUCGAUGAAACCUGAAAGAUUUCGAUGAGACGAUCUUAAUAAUGGUUAAAUACUGAUAAUUUUUCGUUUGAAAAAAGAUGGAUAAGUGUGGGGGCGGAUUUUUUGUGUCAAUAGCGAGACCGCUCAUUAAGAGUGAUUUCAAGGGGCGACAGGAUCAUUUAAGGCGAAAAUGCGUGACUGUAUCGUGUGUCGUCCCGUGUAUAAAGUAUCCGGAUACGCUCGGUUCAUCCUAUAAAUCAGUGGCCUCCUGCACGCUCCCUCUUUUUCUUGAUGGCAGCAAGUACUUUCCGCGUGCUGGAAAAAAAGGGAAAAGCACGCGAUCGCUAUUUAAAAGGCUCGUAGGUAGGUGGCUUUUUAGCAGUAGUCGGGAUAUGUAUAAAGGCGGCGAACGCAUGGUGAUAGAGAAGGGAAGAGAAAGAGAGAGGACUUCAACUUCGCCGCUCCUCCGGCGGCCUCGGCAUGGGGUUGCCACGCUAUUUUCAGGCUCUGAUGGCUCGUUGCAGCUGUCGUGUUCUUCGGGUAAAUCACCUCUCUUCUAUUCCACGGCCAUCCGACAAGAUUUUGCAAUUGGAAGAAUCUAUAAAAUUGUCGGGCUUCGAAAAUAGCAAGAGAUGAUGAUAAAUACACACGAUGCGCUUCUAUGAAAAGAUGUGUCGGCGGAAAAGUGGGAAUAAAAGUUCUCGUGGAUUGUCUUCCGCGGAAGAGCUUCCACUGCUGGAGAAUGAGAGAUGAAGACGAAUCCGAAGAUAAGUCGCAGACUUGGCGGAAUGCCAAACAACAGAUUUUCAGUCGACUACGUGUACUCUUUCAACUUUCCGUCUACGCUUUCCUUCGACUUCCCUAUGCAUCCUCUAGGAUCUAGGGUGCAAUGACAUCGGGCGGCGCAGCUUAAUUCUCUAUUCAUGACUCGUGAAAGAGAAAAGAGAAAACAAUAUGCACUAGUAGAUGGAUGUAAGAAUAGAGAGGUGUAAGAAGAGACAGAAAGAGAAUGCAAGAUAAUUAAUCAUUUAUUGAUUUUUCUUGCCGAAUUUUAGUGCUGAAAAGAGACAAAUUAGAUAAGACUUAAAAUUAACGUUUAAAUAGCUUAUAGCUUUGUAUGCAGAUUAAUAAAAAAUAGAUAAAUAUCUUGAAAGUAAAGAUUUAAAAUAUUUAGACAUGGCGAAGAAAUAUAAUGAGUUGUUACUCUCGAUGAAUCGAGAAAAAAAUUGGAAAAAAAAUUUGAGGUGUGCCCCCUCGGUGGCAAAAAACGUCGACCGGAACGACUCUUAAUUUAGUUCUGGAUGCAAGAGGUUAACAUUGAGUAGAGACGUGUGUGAAAGUGUCUCCCUUCAGAGAAGAACACCGUAAGACACGUUGGCUCGUGUUUGAAGCAAUGCGCUCGAGGAAGGUAGACAGUUCCUUCCGGAGGCAGCAAUCAUAACAGCCUGUUUCAUACCUUCUCGAUCGUGUUCUAUUCUUAUAUCAUCAUCGGUACGAAUUCAAAUACUUAUCUUUUUCUUCAAUAUUAUUGGAGUAUUCGUCAUCGAGAAAAAGUUAUCCGAAUAGUCAUUUGACUACAUUAUUUAAAUGAUAUUAUUUAAUAGAAUUUAUGUGGUGAUUGACAAGGUCAGUUAUGCAGAAUUUUAAUACAUAUUGAAAAAUAAUCAAUUUUUUGA